rnacentral:tRNA from 2 species
GGGCAAUUAGCUCAGCUUGGUAGAGCGGUACAUGUAGUUAGUAUUGGUAAUUUGUCAUGGUAUUGUUUAAAGGUUUCAUGUACAGGUCGCGGCGUUCAAAUCCCGCAUUGUCCA